UACGGAGGGAGCUAGCGUUGUUCGGAAUUACUGGGCGUAAAGCGCACGUAGGCGGCGAUUCAAGUCAGAGGUGAAAGCCCGGGGCUCAACCCCGGAACUGCCUUUGAAACUAGAUUGCUAGAAUCCUGGAGAGGUUAGUGGAAUUCCGAGUGUAGAGGUGAAAUUCGUAGAUAUUCGGAAGAACACCAGUGGCGAAGGCGACUAACUGGACAGGUAUUGACGCUGAGGUGCGAAAGCGUGGGGAGCAAACAGGAUUAGAAACCCAGUAGUCC
rnacentral:rRNA from 1 species